rnacentral:lncRNA from 1 species
GGAUUAGUUUCAUUAGAAUUUAGAUUCAUUAGAAUCUUAUUACUUAGAACUCUUCCUUCCAGCACCAAAUGGAAGAGGAAAAAUUCGUGACAAAAACAGGAAGAAAACAGAAGGAAAGAUAUUUGAUGAGAGCUGUUGCAUAUCAGUUUUGAACGUGAGGAACAAAUUCUCUUCAUCUGAAUGAGCAUCAAAGCGAGCUGGGAUUAGUUGAGUGUCAUCAUUUUAAGAGCAGUUCUCAUUUGUACCUAACUACUUGAAAUUCUUUACUUAGGUACGGAAAUUGGAGAGGCAAAUUUGUGCCACAGAAAGGAAGAUAACAUAAGGAAAAGUAUUUGAUAGUACUGUUGCAUAUCAGUUUAGAAUGUGAGGAACAAGUUCUCUUCAUCUGAAUGAACAUUAUAGCGAGCUGGAAUUAGUUGAGUGUCAUCAUUUUAAGAGCAGUUCGCAUUUGAAUCUAACUACUUGGAAUUCUUUACUCGGGUACAAAAUCGGAGAGGCAAAUUUGUGCCACAGAAAGAAGAUAACACAAAGAAGUAUUUGCUAGUACUGUUGCAUAUCAGUUUAGAAUGUGAGGAACAAGUUCUCUUCAUCUGAAAAAGCAUCAAAGCGAGCUGGGAUUACUUAGUUGAGUGUCAUCAUAUCAAGCAACAGUUAUUAGAUUGACUCUCCGGGAGCCUCACUCCACUUUCGUGAAGAUGAAAGGCAAGUGAAAAUGGGAAGAUAUGGAACAGAAAGUAUUUGAUGAGAGCUGUUGCAUAUCAGUUUAGAACGUGAGGACAAGUUCUCUCAUCUGAAUGAGCAUCAAAGCGAGCUGGGAUUAGUUGAGAGUCAUCAUUUUAAGAACAGUUCUCAUUUGAGUCUUACUACUUGGAAUUCUUUACUUGGCACACAAUCGGAGAGGCAAUUUGUGACAUAGAAAGGAAAAUAGCAUAAGGAAAAGUAUUUGAUGAGUACUGUUGCAUAUCAGUUUAGAACGUGAGGAACAAGUUCUCUUCAUCUGAUUGAGCAUCAAAGCGAGCUGGGAUUAGUUGAGUGUCAUCAUAUCAAGCACAGUACUUAUAAGGUUAACUCUCCUGGAGC